GUGCACAGAGAGCUUCGGUAGCCUGCGAAGCAGCCAUUUUCACUUCCACGGAGCAGAUGCUGGCCUGGGUGCUGGAAUAUGGAAAUGAGGAAGAUCCUGCCUGAGGAUUUCAUGACAGUGCUGCGAUUACCGACGUGAGCCACUGUGCCCAGCCUCACUUUAAAAAAAAAAAAAGGUUAUGAAGCAUCUCAACACAAGACCUCCUUUGCUCAUCACAACCACCCAGUGAAGCAGGCAAGACAACAGAAACUCCCCACCUGUGAUAGAUGUGAGGCCUGAAGUCUCCCACAUACCCACGGCAGAUGCAACGCACAGCGGUGACCAAUGGUGAAGGAUCUAAAACCUGAAAAGAGGCCAAAUGAUUCCUCAAAACCACGCAAGUACGAAGUAGCAGAGCGGAUCUCAAAUCCAGGUUGGUUUCCUUUUUACAACUGCCCAAGUCAUGAGUUCAUAGGGCCUGGAUGGCUGUACCGGAUUGCUCUCCAGCUGGUCUCUCUGCAUCCAGAAAUUUCUACAACCUACUGGGAAGCAAGCAGCAUGCUGGAGACCCUCAAAUACAUGUGAAAUGAAGG
rnacentral:lncRNA from 1 species